rnacentral:rRNA from 4 species
CAACUUUCAACAAUGGAUCUCUUGGCUCUCGCAUCGAUGAAGAACGCAGCGAAAUGCGAUACGUAAUGUGAAUUGCAGAAUUCCGUGAAUCAUCGAAUCUUUGAACGCACCUUGCGCCCCUUGGUAUUCCGAGGGGCAUGCCUGUUUGAGUGUCAU